UUUGGGGUAGGAUUCAAAGCGUUAAGUGCUGGUGGAACGGAAUGUGAACACCGGACAAAGGGGAUGUCCCCGCGGUUUUGUUUCCGCAUUCGCCACA
rnacentral:ncRNA from 2 species